GCGAUAAGCGUCGGUAAGGUGAUAUGAACCGUUAUAACCGGCGAUUUCCGAAUGGGGAAACCCAGUGUGAUUCGUCACACUAUCAUUAACUGAAUCCAUAGGUUAAUGAGGCGAACCGGGGGAACUGAAACAUCUAAGUACCCCGAGGAAAAGAAAUCAACCGAGAUUCCCCCAGUAGCGGCGAGCGAACGGGGAGCAGCCCAGAGCCUGAAUCAGUGUGUGUGUUAGUGGAAGCGUCUGGAAAGGCGCGCGAUACAGGGUGACAGCCCCGUACACAAAAAUGCACAUGCUGUGAGCUCGAUGAGUAGGGCGGGACACGUGGUAUCCUGUCUGAAUAUGGGGGGACCAUCCUCCAAGGCUAAAUACUCCUGACUGACCGAUAGUGAACCAGUACCGUGAGGGAAAGGCGAAAAGAACCCCGGCGAGGGGAGUGAAAAAGAACCUGAAACCGUGUACGUACAAGCAGUGGGAGCCUCUUUAUGGGGUGACUGCGUACCUUUUGUAUAAUGGGUCAGCGACUUAUAUUCUGUAGCAAGGUUAACCGAAUAGGGGAGCCGAAGGGAAACCGAGUCUUAACUGGGCGUUAAGUUGCAGGGUAUAGACCCGAAACCCGGUGAUCUAGCCAUGGGCAGGUUGAAGGUUGGGUAACACUAACUGGAGGACCGAACCGACUAAUGUUGAAAAAUUAGCGGAUGACUUGUGGCUGGGGGUGAAAGGCCAAUCAAACCGGGAGAUAGCUGGUUCUCCCCGAAAGCUAUUUAGGUAGCGCCUCGUGAAUUCAUCUCCGGGGGUAGAGCACUGUUUCGGCAAGGGGGUCAUCCCGACUUACCAACCCGAUGCAAACUGCGAAUACCGGAGAAUGUUAUCACGGGAGACACACGGCGGGUGCUAACGUCCGUCGUGAAGAGGGAAACAACCCAGACCGCCAGCUAAGGUCCCAAAGUCAUGGUUAAGUGGGAAACGAUGUGGGAAGGCCCAGACAGCCAGGAUGUUGGCUUAGAAGCAGCCAUCAUUUAAAGAAAGCGUAAUAGCUCACUGGUCGAGUCGGCCUGCGCGGAAGAUGUAACGGGGCUAAACCAUGCACCGAAGCUGCGGCAGCGACGCUUAUGCGUUGUUGGGUAGGGGAGCGUUCUGUAAGCCUGCGAAGGUGUGCUGUGAGGCAUGCUGGAGGUAUCAGAAGUGCGAAUGCUGACAUAAGUAACGAUAAAGCGGGUGAAAAGCCCGCUCGCCGGAAGACCAAGGGUUCCUGUCCAACGUUAAUCGGGGCAGGGUGAGUCGACCCCUAAGGCGAGGCCGAAAGGCGUAGUCGAUGGGAAACAGGUUAAUAUUCCUGUACUUGGUGUUACUGCGAAGGGGGGACGGAGAAGGCUAUGUUGGCCGGGCGACGGUUGUCCCGGUUUAAGCGUGUAGGCUGGUUUUCCAGGCAAAUCCGGAAAAUCAAGGCUGAGGCGUGAUGACGAGGCACUACGGUGCUGAAGCAACAAAUGCCCUGCUUCCAGGAAAAGCCUCUAAGCAUCAGGUAACAUCAAAUCGUACCCCAAACCGACACAGGUGGUCAGGUAGAGAAUACCAAGGCGCUUGAGAGAACUCGGGUGAAGGAACUAGGCAAAAUGGUGCCGUAACUUCGGGAGAAGGCACGCUGAUAUGUAGGUGAAGCGACUUGCUCGUGGAGCUGAAAUCAGUCGAAGAUACCAGCUGGCUGCAACUGUUUAUUAAAAACACAGCACUGUGCAAACACGAAAGUGGACGUAUACGGUGUGACGCCUGCCCGGUGCCGGAAGGUUAAUUGAUGGGGUUAGCGGUAACGCGAAGCUCUUGAUCGAAGCCCCGGUAAACGGCGGCCGUAACUAUAACGGUCCUAAGGUAGCGAAAUUCCUUGUCGGGUAAGUUCCGACCUGCACGAAUGGCGUAAUGAUGGCCAGGCUGUCUCCACCCGAGACUCAGUGAAAUUGAACUCGCUGUGAAGAUGCAGUGUACCCGCGGCAAGACGGAAAGACCCCGUGAACCUUUACUAUAGCUUGACACUGAACAUUGAGCCUUGAUGUGUAGGAUAGGUGGGAGGCUUUGAAGUGUGGACGCCAGUCUGCAUGGAGCCGACCUUGAAAUACCACCCUUUAAUGUUUGAUGUUCUAACGUUGGCCCCUAAUCGGGGUUGCGGACAGUGUCUGGUGGGUAGUUUGACUGGGGCGGUCUCCUCCUAAAGAGUAACGGAGGAGCACGAAGGUUGGCUAAUCCUGGUCGGACAUCAGGAGGUUAGUGCAAUGGCAUAAGCCAGCUUGACUGCGAGCGUGACGGCGCGAGCAGGUGCGAAAGCAGGUCAUAGUGAUCCGGUGGUUCUGAAUGGAAGGGCCAUCGCUCAACGGAUAAAAGGUACUCCGGGGAUAACAGGCUGAUACCGCCCAAGAGUUCAUAUCGACGGCGGUGUUUGGCACCUCGAUGUCGGCUCAUCACAUCCUGGGGCUGAAGUAGGUCCCAAGGGUAUGGCUGUUCGCCAUUUAAAGUGGUACGCGAGCUGGGUUUAGAACGUCGUGAGACAGUUCGGUCCCUAUCUGCCGUGGGCGCUGGAGAACUGAGGGGGGCUGCUCCUAGUACGAGAGGACCGGAGUGGACGCAUCACUGGUGUUCGGGUUGUCAUGCCAAUGGCACUGCCCGGUAGCUAAAUGCGGAAGAGAUAAGUGCUGAAAGCAUCUAAGCACGAAACUUGCCCCGAGAUGAGUUCUCCCUGACUCCUUGAGAGUCCUGAAGGAACGUUGAAGACGACGACGUUGAUAGGCCGGGUGUGUAAGCGCAGCGAUGCGUUGAGCUAACCGGUACUAAUGAACCGUGAGGCUUAACCUU
rnacentral:rRNA from 2 species